rnacentral:rRNA from 1 species
CUCUUGUGAAAUAAAAAUAAGAGGUCCCACCUGCCCUGUGACAUAUGUUUAACGGCCGCGGUAUUUUGACCGUGCAAAGGUAGCGCAAUCACUUGUCUUUUAAAUGAAGACCUGUAUGAAUGGUAUAACGAAGGCUUAGCUGUCUCCUUUCCCCGGUCAAUGAAAUUGAUCUCCCCGUGCAGAAGCGGGGAUAAAAACAUAAGACGAGAAGACCCUAUGGAGCUUAAGACAAAAUAGUAGUCCAUAUAAAGUAACUUCAAAUAAAAGGUUAUAUUUUUUGCCUCCUGCUUGAAUGUCUUUGGUUGGGGCGACCGCGGGGAAAUAAAUAACCCCCAUGUGGAUUGAGAGAACCUCUCCCAAAACCAAGAGUCACCACUCUAAGUAACAGAACCUCUGACCAAAAUGAUCCGGUAAACACCGAUCAACGAACCGAGUUACCCUAGGGAUAACAGCGCAAUCCCCUUCCAGAGCCCAUAUCGACAAGGGGGUUUACGACCUCGAUGUUGGAUCAGGACAUCCUAAUGGUGCAGCCGCUAUUAAGGGUUCGUUUGUUCAACGAUUAAAGUCCUACGUGAUCUGAGUUCAGACCGGAGUAAUCCAGG